rnacentral:lncRNA from 1 species
CAGUUUGCUAUUUGUAAUUUUAUCAGGUUGGGGGACGAAACACUGUGCUCGUUGAUGCUGUUCAGAAAAGAAUUCCUCUUGUGACUGAUAGACCUACAAUUAUAUUUGGUGCAAAUGUCACCCAUCCACAACCAGGAGAAGACUCUAGCCCUUCUAUAGCGGCUGUAUGUACACUCGUCUUUUGUUUCUGCUUUCUAGUAAUUCACUCUGUUAAAAGAUUGAAUUGACUGAGACAGGUGGUGGCCUCAAUGGAUUGGCCAGAAGUAGCCAAGUACAGAGGGCUUGUCUCUGCUCAGGCACCCCAUGAGGAAAUUAUCCAAGAUCUCUAUAAAUCUAUUCAAGAUCCUCAAGGGGGUUUAGUUCAUGGAGGAAUGAUCAGGUUAGUAGACAUGGAAGUACAUAUCAGGUGCCUUAAUUAAGAGAAACUUAUGCUUCUGUUUGUCUUUUACAGGGAACUGUUAAUUGCCUUCAGAAGAUCAACCAACUUUAAACCUCACAGGAUUAUUUUCUACCGGUAAUUGCUGUUUUCAAUGUUAAACUGUUUGUUUUGUAGAAUGUUACUGAUGUUGUUUCAUUUAUGUGCCAGAGAUGGUGUUGGUGAAAGGCAGUUCAGUCAGGUUUUGCUCCAUGAAAUGAAUGCUAUCCGACAGGUAAUGCUGAUGAUUCCUGAAGUUAAAAUGAUUUUCUUGUGUUCAAGAGAUUUUCAUUAUCUAGCUUCAGUUAAUGCCUUUAUGAUAGCUUUUGUUGCAACAUGCUAAAUUGAUUUAUUUCCAGGCCUGUGCCUCACUUGAGGAGGGAUAUGCGCCACCAGUUACGUUUGUUGUGGUACAGAAAAGGUGUCGUACUCGCCUUUUUCCUGCUGAGAACAACAGAUGCGAUCUGACAGAUAGGAGUGGAAAUAUUUUACCAGGUUCCAAGUUUGCUUUGUAUUAUUAAUCUUUAUAUCCUAUUUGCUUCUUUUGACUAUUCACAACAGCUGGGAACCAUGUCGUUGCCUAACCUUGUGUUUGACGAUUGUUUUUGGGAUGUCCUUGUGUUAGGAACCGUUGUUGAUACUGAAAUUUGUCAUCCUACAGAAUUCGAUUUUUACCUCAACAGUCAUGCAGCAAUUCAGGUAAAAAAUAAGUUUGCUCUUUCAAUCCAAAUUUUAUCCAUCUAGACUUACUCUCGAUGAACAUUGUACACUUUUUUUUUUUUUUCCACCUAUAAUUUUUAAAUGCGUUGGACUGACUAAGGUGUUUAUUCCAGGGAACCAGUCGACCAACUCGCUACCAUGUAUUGUAUGAUGAGAACCGUUUUACUGCAGAUGGCCUGCAAGUGUUAACAAAUAACUUGUGUUACACGUAAUAUGUUUACCUUCUCUAUAACUGGAUUUAAUAUUGCAUUGUUGAAGAAUUUAUCUUUGGAAUGGUUAUUCUGUAAGUUUUGACUCAUGGCCCAUUUUCAGGUACGCAAGGUGUACUCGAUCAGUUUCCAUAGGUCUGAUCCUCGUACUUCUGUUGCUUUCCUAAAAACAUUUUCAAUCAAUGAAUUAUUUAUUACUCUGGCAAGCAUUGAUUAUUUUUUAAUUUUUAUUGGUUGAUUUCAUAUGGCAGUGCCUCCUGCAUAUUAUGCAUAUUUAGCAGCUUUUCGGGCUCGUUAUUAUAUCGAGGAUGAAACAUCUUCUGGUGGAUCCACAGAUGGGAACAGGAGCACGGCAGAGAGGAAUUUGGCUAUCCGGCCACUUCCCGUCAUCAAGGAUAAUGUGAAAGAUGUAAUGUUUUAUUGCUGAAAGUAGUCUUCAGCCUUUAUCUCUUAUGUCAUGGUUUUCAUAAAGGCUUGACCUAUUUUGGUAGACGGAGAACCAGCGUUUUGCAUUUUUGGACCGUACUGUUAUUUUGGGAGUAGUUUCAAAUUCGACAUCUAGAGUAGAAACUACUUAUCCUCAGCUUAAAAAUAUAAGCCGCAUGUUCUCCCAGUUAAUGCCUUGUCAAUUUAAAUGCAAAACAACUCCAUACAUAUUUUGUCCAUAAGGGUAUUGAACUGUGUAUGCUUCCUUUUUUUCCUUCAAUUACACCUUAUUCCUCCUGGACGGUGGCUUCUGAAUUACUUUCUUUGCUUUUUGAGAGUUAAAGCAAUUCCGUUGCUUCGUCCACUUUAGCCGCCAACGACUCGGGUGAAUCCAGCAACGCCAGCAGCUCGGAGUGAUCCCUUUCCAAAAGCAUCUCAGUAAUCUUUAGUGCGAGAUCAUACUGUCCAACAGUUAAAUGUAAAUAGAACUAAACCAAAGCUCAAAGCAGGUGAAAAUUAUAAGUACAUUUGCAGAAGGUUAAAUUUUAGUUUACUAGAAUGACAAUUUACUAUUUACCUCAAAAAUAUGAAACAUCAAUUUAUUCCCUUUUACGGUUAAGAAGACAAAAGGAAUUCAUUAAUGCAGUAUUCAUCUAUCCUCAUCUUUUGAACGACAAUGAAAGUAAAUUAAAAAUUAUCAUUCUAUCUGGGGGAUAAAUCGAAGUUGACCCUUCGCAGAAUUAAGAUUAAUCACCGUGAGUUUCUUCAUCAGCGGGCAGAGUCUUUAGCCAAGGAUAUUUUUCCUUUGAUCAGGGGAAGCAGCAGCAAGCAUGCUGCUCAAAUAUUCAUUGGAAGCAGCAGCUCUUUGACUCCCAUUUGUCAGGUUGUUGGCAGCAGUUUGCCCGGCCCUCUAAAAUAAUGGUCAUAUGAAGUAAACAGUUAUUAAGAAGCAUUUUGUUUCAAAAAGCAAAUGGAAUACAAUUCAUUUGGUAUCAAGUAGAAAAGGCAAAAAAGGAAAAAAAAUAAUAAUCUUGUACACUCUAAAAUAAUGGAAUACAAUUCAUUUGGUUUCAAAAAGCAAAUGGAAUACAAUUCAUUUGGUAUCAAUUCAUUUAUUUUAGAGUGGCCCUCUAAAAUAAUGGCCACUCUCCCUCUCAAAUCUUGAUCCCUUUUUCCUUUUUACAGAUGCUGUAAGCUACUUUUCAUUUUACUGUUCAAGAGGGGCGGUAAAGCUAGCCGCCCUGCCCUUUUUAUUAUUUAUAUACACGCCCUCUUUUCCUCCCUCCUCCUCUCUGACACUUACUUUCUCCUCAAGCAAUCGCCCUCUCUUACUUUCUCCUCAAGUAAUCCAUCACUUCGGUUCCUCAAAAUUUUUUUCUCUCUCAUUUUACCUUUUUGUUUUCGAUAAUGUCCCGACGUGGCGGCGGUGGUCGUAGGCCGGAUUCUUGCAGUGACCAGCCGGCUCAGGCACCGGCGCCGUCUUUCCAGCGCGGUGGUGGCGAAGCCGCUGGACCACCGGGCCGAGGGCAUCAAGGUCAACGUGGCGGUACUGGUGGUGGAUCGCAUUCUGGUUCCGGUGCAGCCCCUUCCUCAUCACACGCAGCUUCGACUUCGACAGCGCAGGCUCCUUCAUCUCCGUCUGUUUCUGCAUCUGCUCCUUCUUCGUCUUCAGUUUCUACUCUUGUCGACGAAACUGAGCAGAAACUGACAUUGGCGGCACCAGCGGCGGCUACUCUUCCGCCUUCGUCGUCGCAGGCAAUGAGACUUCCGGUGAGGCCGGGAUUGGGAACUGUUGGCAGAAAAUGUGUUGUCAGAGCAAAUCACUUUAUGGUGCAACUUGCCGAGAGAGACAUUCAUCACUAUGAUGUAAGUCCACUUUUAAUUUUAGUUUUGUUAUUUUUGAAAACGUUUUGACUAUUUUUAUUUUUUUUGUUUUCUCGUCAAUUUUGAUUUUAUUUAAGAUUCACCAUUCGUGAGCGUCGACAUCGAAGGUGUCGGGGUUUUGUAGAUAUUUUAAAAGUAUGUUUAUUGUUUUGCUUAUUUAUUUAUUUAUUUUUUAAGGUUUCAAUUACUCCAGAGGUGACGUCAAAAAAGAUCAACAGACAAAUUAUUUCUCAGCUGAUUAAUUUAUAUCGGCUGACUAACUUGGGUGAACGAAUACCUGCCUAUGAUGGUAUGAAGAGCAUUUACACUGCAGGGCCGCUGCCUUUUGAAUCGAAGGAAUUCAUUAUCACGUUACCUGAUAGUGAUCCUCGUCCCAGCUCAUCUACCAGGCCGAGGUAUCUCUUGCUUUUAACACGUGUGUUUCUUGAAUAUGUUGAUUGUGAGUUUUCUUGAUUUAAUGUGUUGAGUGAUUUCUUAUGCAGAAGGGAGCGUCAGUUUAGGGUGGUUAUCAGAUUGGCGUCGAAGCCUGAUCUUUACACUCUACAGCAGUUCUUACUCCGUAGGCAUUUUGACGCACCGUACGAAGUUAUACAAGUGCUUGAUGUUGUUCUCAGAGCAGCUCCAUCAGAGAAGUAUUUAACCUUAACUGUGUUAAUAAAGUUUCACUUUUUGGUGUGUAUGAUAUAGGAUGUUCCCUGCCCAUGCCAGCAUUUGAUUGUUCAUGCAACUGAUUUAACAUUUGAUUUCUGAGUAACAAUUUUAUUAUUGUCUAUUUUGUGUCUUGAACAAUUUGGGUUUUAGAAUAGUUAAUUAAUGAAAUGAUGAACUUCUGCAUCAGGCAUACAGUUGUGGGGAGGUCAUUUUUCUCUACUGAUCUUGGACCAAUGGGUCAGCUUGGUGAUGGCGUUGAAUAUUGGCGUGGAUAUUUUCAGAGUCUUCGCCCAACCCAGAUGGGGCUAUCUCUUAAUAUUGGUAUUUCUCAUUAUAUUUUAUAUAAUUUGAUGCUGCUUAUCUUCUAUAUUAUGCAAGCUUGAUUUUGUUUUAGGUGCAGCACUGCUAUAUAAAUAUUUGCUCUUGCUGUUGCAGAUGUUUCAGCCUGUUCCUUUUAUGAACCAAUUCUAGUUACUGAGUUUGUUCAGAAGUAUUGCAGAGACUUAUCACAUCCUCUUUCUGAUGAAGUGCGUCUGCAGGUAUUGUCUAGUCUUCUUUGGUUAUGUCUUGGUUAUAAUUAAUUUAGUAUCAAUUUAAUGAGCUAUCUAUUAGGCGGUUAAAAGUUUUAAUUGAGGGCUGCAGCCCCCUAAUAUAUUUGUGAUAAGAGCAUUUUCAAAAAAUGAUCACAGAUUUGUUAGGCAAACAGUUCAGUAAUGUUUUGGACGUUGUGAAUAAUUUAUUGAUUCAAUAUUUACUUAGUUUAAUUUUUUUAGUUAACUAAUAAUAUAAAUGUUAGGAUUUAUAUACAUAUAUGCAGACACAUUGAUAGGGAAGAACCCAAAAAUUUUAUCUAGGAGAGGCUUAGUAUGAUACAAUUGCAAAAAAACUUUCAACAAAAAAUGAUAGGUGUCAAAUUAUUGAAUUUCAUUGAAUUACUGAUUUUCAACAUAAUUACGGUUUUUCUCGACUCAUUUGUAGUUUUAUAAAAUUACAUACUAUAAUAACUUCAUUGUCAACUUAAUUAAAAAUUUGAAGUUUGAACUAUAGAUUGUUGUUUGUUAUUUUCAAGUAAUAACUUAAAUUAAUAUAAAUAUUUGAGGCAAACAUAAAAAACUUAUCAUAUAUAGUAAGAAAUCUAGUUGAUCAAAUAAAUCCAACUCAACUAUUUAAAAAGUUAAAGCCGGUGACUUAAAAAAUAUGAUAUUUUUAAAAAAUUAAAGUUAUGAGAUAGACAAUUGUGUCAAUCAAUUAAGUCAUGACUUGAGCACCACUUUCAAGUCCAUAACACAUAACAAACUAAUAAAUGGACUAAAUAUAUAACAUAUUUAAAAGGAAAAUUUAUAAGUCUAGAAGGGGGUUUAAAUUAUUAAAUAGACCAAAUAAUCGUGAAUCGUACUUGGGCCUACUUUUCAUUUUACUGUUCAAGAGGGGCGGUAAAGCUAAGCCACCCUGCCCUUUUUAUUAUUUAUAUACGCGCCCUCUUUUCCUCCCUCCUUCUCCCUGACACUUACUUUAUCCUCAAGUAAUCGCUCUCCCGCUUUAUUUGUGUCACCAUCAUUUCACUUCGGUUCCCCAAAAUUUUCUCUCAUAUAUUUACCUUUCUGCUUUCGACAAUGUCUCGACGUGGUGGCGGUGGUCGUAGGCCGGAUUCUCGCCUUGACCAGCCGACUCAGGCACGGGCGCCGUCAUUCCAGCGGGGUGGCGGCGGAGCCGCUGGACCACGCGGCCGAGGUCGUCAAGGUCAACGUGGGGGUGCUGGUCGUGGAUCGCAUUCCGGCUCCGGUGCAGCCCCGUCCUCACCGCACACCGCUUCGACUUCGACGGAGCCGGCUCCUUCGUCUCCGUCUGUUUCUGCUUCUGCUCCUUCUUCGUCUUCAGUCUCUACUCUUGUCGAAGAAACGGAGCAGAAACUGAUAUUGGCGGCACCAGCGGCGGCUACACUGCGGCCUUCGUCGUCGCGGGCGAGUAGACUUCCCGAGAGGCCGGGAAUCGGAACUGUUGGCACAAAAUGUGUUGUCCGAGCAAAUCACUUUAUGGUACAACUUGCCGAGAGAGACAUUCAUCACUAUGAUGUAAGUCUACUUUUAAUUUUAACUUUGUUAUUUUUUAAAACGUUUUGACUCUUUUUGUUUUUUAUUUUCCGUUUUUCUGGUCAAUUUUGAUUUUAUUUAAGAUUCACCAUUCGUGAGCGUCGAAUUCGAAGAUAUCGGGGUUUUAUUGCUAUUUUAAAAACAUGUUUAUUGUUUUCCUUGUUUAUUUAUUUUUUAAGGUUUCAAUUGAUCAAGUCCAAGAUCUCGAAUCGAAUCGAUAUUCAGAGGUGACGUCAAAAAAAAUCAACAGACAAAUUAUUUCUCAGCUGAUUAAUUUAUAUGGGCUGACUAACUUGGGUGGACGAAUACCUGCCUAUGAUGGUAUGAAGAGCAUUUACACGGCAGGGCCGCUGCCUUUUGUAUCGAAGGAAUUCAUUAUCAAUUUACCUGAUAGUGAUCCUCGUCCCAGCUCGUCUACCAGCCCGGGGUAUCUCAUGCUUUUAACAUGUGUGUUUCUUGAAUAUUGUUGAUUGUGAGUUUUCUUGAUUUAAUGUGUCUGAGUAAUUUCUUAUGCAGAAGGGAGCAUCAGUUUAGGGUGGUUAUCAGAUUGGCAUCGAAGCCUGAUCUUUACACUCUACAGCAGUUCUUACGCCGAAGGCAUUUUGAAGCUCCGUACCAUGUUAUACAAGUGCUUGAUGUUGUUCUCAGAGCAGCUCCAUCAGAGAAGUAUUUAACCUUAACCGUGUUAAUAAAAGUUUCACUUUUUGGUUUGUUUGAUAUAGGAUGUUGCCUGCCCAUGCCGGCAUUUGCUUGUUCAUGCAACUGAUUUAGCAUUUUAUUUCUGAGGAAAAAUUUUAAUAUUGUCUAUUUUAUGUCUUGAACAAUUUAGGUUUUAGAUUGAUUAAUUAAUGAAAUGAUGAACUUCUGCAUCAGGCAUACAGUUCUGGGAAGGUCAUUUUUCUCAACUGAUCUUGGACCAAUGGGUCAGCUUGGUGAUGACGUUGAGUAUUGGCGUGGAUAUUUUCAGAGUCUUCGCCCAACCCAGAUGGGGCUAUCUCUUAAUAUUGGUAUUUCUCAUUAUAUUUUAUAUAAUUUGAUGCUGCUUCUCUUUUAUAUUAUGCAAACUUGAUUUUCUUUUUCGGUGCAACGUUGCUACAUAAAUAUUUGCUUUUGCUGUUGCAGAUGUUUCAGCCAGCUCCUUUUAUAAGCCAAUUCUAGUUACUGAGUUUGUUCAGUAUUAUUGCAGCGACUUAUCACGUCCUCUUUCUGAUCAAGUGCGUCUCAAGGUAUUGUCUAGUCUUCUUUCGUGAUGUCAUGGUUAUAAUUAAUUUAGUAUCAAUUUAAUGAGCUAUCUAUUGGGCGGUUAAAAGUUUUAAUUAAGGGCUGCAGCACUGUAAUAUAUUUGUGAUAAGAGCCUUUUCAAAGAAUGAUCACAGAUUUGUUAGGCAAACCGUUCAGUAAUGUUUUAGAUGCUGUGUAUAAUUUAUUGCAAGUAAUUAGUAGUUUAAAAUUUCAAAUUUCUUGCAAAUUUUGGAUAGGGUAAUUUCUUAAUUUGUGGCUGAACUGGUGGGUGGUGAGUAGUGUCUGUUGUUCUCGGCCAUUGAAAUCUAAAUAGAAUGAGCUCCCAAGUCUAGGGGGAAUAGAAUGUUGAUGACAGUGUUUGAUGAUUAAUGUAGGAAGUUGGUGUAUAAUUUGGCCUAUAAUUCUGAUGAUAAAGAAAUGAGAUCUUGAAAUGGCGGUUUUAAAAAUCUUCCACGCAUUCAUUUGCAAUUGUACAGUUAUCUUGAUCAACUUAUUAUCAUUCCGCUACGUAUAUUAGCAAUCUUUUGAACUAUCUGUAAACUUUUUACUUUCGAUCUAUUUUGGCCGCUAUUUGACAACUGCCCUUUAAUUAUUUUCAAAAUUAUUGCUGGGAAUUGGAUAGAGACACGUGCUCAAUGAUAUUAAUAUAAUUGUUUAAUUCUUGACUUCUAGGUGAAAAAGGCAUUGAAGGGAAUAAAGGUAGUGCUCAGGCAUAUGGGGUACAACUUAAGUUGCAAGAUCACUGGAAUAACCAGUCAACCGAUGAGCCAAGUAAUGUAUGUGUGUGUGUAAUUAACUGAUAUACAAGUGUAAGAACACUGUCCAACUUGUGGUGAUAGAGUGUGAUAACAUAACUUGGUGGUUUGGUUGUGUUUAUGUUGGUCGAUUUGUUUAUGUUAGCUGAUUCUUGAGUCCCCCACGCCAUUUGAGAAGCAUACUUUAUGUUGCCUGCUUUUGUCGUCAUCUGAAAUCCACAUAUGGUUAAAUUUGUCUUCUGUGUUGUAUUUUAUGUAUGAUUGAACUACUUGGUGGUAAAAAGUUUGGCGGAUGUGUCUCAAAUCAAUUUCUCAAAUCUGAUAUGUGAUAGUAGUUGGCUACUAUGUAGUGCGAUGGUCACUUGAUAUUGCGUGUAACAGUGAUGUAUCCCUCCUUCCAUGUUAUAGUAGGCAUUCACGUUAUAUCUUCCCUUUGAUUGUAUUUGCUAGGUUUACUUCUGACAAUGAGACAAGGUCGGUGGUUCAAUAUUUUCUUGAAAAACAUAAAAUUGCGCUUCAAUUCACGUCAUUGCCUGCCCUUGAAGCUGGAACUGAAGAGAGGCGCAUUUAUUUGCCAAUGGAGGUUCUAUGAUCAAAAGACUACUUUCAUUCUUUGUGUCUGGAAAAUAAUUUAUUUAAGACUUAUUUAUAGAAUAUUUUUGUUUCCAGCUUUCUAGGAUUGUCGAGGGACAGAGAUAUACUAAAAGAUUAAAUGAAAGACAAGUAACUGCUCUUUUAAGAGCAACUUGUCAGCGUCCUCGGGAUCGUGAAGCAAAUAUACAGACGGUAGAGCAUUGUUGUAAUUUCUUACAUCUGUGGUGGAUCUUUUUUGGAUGAUUAAUCUGGGAGCUAUCUUCUUGUGAACAAAGAGAGUUUCUGAUUCUUGCUUCUGGGUUUGACAUUCUUCUGCAGAUGGCUAGGAAAAAUGCUUACAAUGAAGAUACUCUUGUGAACAAGAAGUUUGGAAUUCAAGUGGCUGAUGGUCUUACAUCGUUUGAUGCUCGAAUCCUACCUGCUCCAAUAGUAAUUAUGUGUCAUUUUGUUUUAUUUGUAACAGGAUUGUGGUACUUCCAAUCUCCUUGUGCUUAACUUUACCUCCUGUAAUGCUGCAGCUUAAAUAUCAUGAAUCUGGCAGAGAAGCAAGCGUGAAUCCUGAUUUUGGGCAAUGGAACAUGAUUAACAAGGUGAAUUACUGAUUAUUAUUUUAUUCCGUAGUUGUUGAUUUGUGCUUAGGAAGAGCAUACGGAAGCGGUUACCACUUGUUUAAUCUGGUUGAGGGAUGUUUAUUGACUGAUGGGUAGGAUGGGUUGGAAGUUGAUUUGCUACAUUUGAUGCAAUGUGGAUGUGCUGCAUUUCUUUUGCAACCAUAAUUUUUUAUUUUUUUUUUCCGUUUUAGCAUGCUGUAAUUUCUAUUUAGUUAUAUACUUUUUCAUCUUUGACAAGCAUUGUAUCUGAUAUUCACUUAGGUAUUCGGAUUGUAUGUGCUUGGUGUUCAGCUCAAUCCACUUUGCCUUCUGAAUGGGAAGUAUUUUUUUGUUCACACUGAAUUAUUUUGUGUAAUUUUGGUUGUACAGAAAAUGUUCAAUGGUGGGACAGUGCAAGUUUGGACUUGUAUGAACUUCUCAACGUGUUUGAACCAGGAUGUGAUCGUGUUCUGUCAACGGUUGGUAGACAUGUGCAAUAGAAAGGGAAUGGUAUGGUAAUGUUAAUGGUAUGGUAAUGUUAUUUGUUUUGCAAUUCAUGUUAGCAAUUUAGGUUAAUGGUCUCUCUGAACCGACUUUUUUCUUUUGGGGGGUCCGUGUUUAUCAUGCCAGGUAUUUAACUGCCGGCCUGUCAUUCCCAUAAGUUCAUACAACCCAUAUCAAAUUGAGAAGGCACUUGUAGACGUUCACAAUAAGACUACACAGCCAGGGAAACAGCUUCAGCUGUUGAUAAUUAUUUUACCAGAUGUUAGCGGAUCAUAUGGUGAGUGAUAAAUUUAAUCAAGGAUUAAACUUUAAUGUCAGCUUUGGUUUUGUUCAACAUUAUCGGCUUUCUGCUCGCAGGAAGAAUUAAGCGAGUUUGUGAAACGGAACUUGGGAUUGUUUCACAAUGCUGUCAGCCUAAGCACGCAUCCAGUUGCAACAUGCAGUAUUUUGAAAAUGUGGCUCUUAAAAUCAAUGUGAAGGUUUGCUUUGCCCCCAUUUUUUUGCGUGUUCAUUAUCAUGGUUAAUAUUUGAGAACCAAUACAAGGGUUGGCAGGAAAACAUGUAGGAGAUGAUUUUUUUUUUUUUUUGGCAAUUUAAUUUCAGUCUUGAUUUGCUGGAAUUAUUGUAUUUUUUUUGUUCAAAUAAUCAAAUUCUGAUGUUCAAGAUAUUUUUAUAAGUGUUUGGGAGUGCCAAAAUUUCUUGUUAAAAUUGAUAGGUUUGCUUAUUGGUACUGGGGAUUCAGUUUGCUAUUUGUAAUUUUAUCAGGUUGGAGGACGAAACACUGUGCUCGAUGAUGCUGUUCAGAAAAGAAUUCCUCUUGUGACUGAUAAACCUACAAUUAUAUUUGGUGCAGAUGUCACCCAUCCACAACCAGGAGAAGACUCUAGCCCUUCAAUAGCGGCCGUAUGUGCACUGAUUUUCUGUUUCUGCUUUCUAGUAAUUCACUCUGUUAAAAGAUUGAAUUGACUGAGAUAGGUGGUGGCCUCAAUGGAUUGGCCAGAAAUAACCAAGUACAGAGGACUUGUCUCUGCUCAGGCACAUAAUCAGGAAAUUAUCCAAGAUCUCUAUAAAUCUAUUAAAGAUCCUCAGAGGGGUUCAGUUCAUGGAGGGAUGAUCCGGUUAGUAGACAUGGAAGUACAUAUCAGGUGCCUUAUUAUUAAGAGAACCUUAUGCUUCUGUUUGUCUUUUACAGGGAACUGUUAAUUGCCUUCAAAAUAUCAACCAACCGUAAACCUGAGAGUAUUAUUUUCUACCGGUAAUGGUUGUUUUCAAUGUUAAACUGCAUGUUUUGUAGAAUGUUACUGAUGUUGUUUCAUUUAUGUGCCAGAGAUGGUGUUAGUGAAGGGCAGUUCAGUCAGGUUUUACUCCAUGAAAUGAAUGCUAUCCGGGAGGUAAUGCUGAUGAGUCCUGAAGUUAAUACAAUUUUCUUGUGUUCUAGAGAUUUUCAAUAUCUAGUUUCAGUUAAUUUCUUGUUGAUGACUUUUGUUGCAACAUGCUAAAUUGACUUAUCUCCAGGCCUGUGCCUCACUUGAGGAGGGAUAUGCGCCACCAGUUACGUUUGUUGUGGUACAGAAAAGGCAUCAUACUCGCCUUUUUCCUGGUGAUCACAACAGACGCGAUCUGACAGAUAGGAGUGGAAAUAUUUUACCAGGUUCCAAGUUAUCUUUGUAUUAUUAAUCUUUAUUUUCUAUUUGCGUCUUUUGAGUAUGCAUAAUGGCUGGGAACCAUGUUGUUGCUUAACCUUGUCUUUGAUGAAUAUUUUUGGGAUGUCCCUGUGUUAGGAACUGUUGUUGAUACUCAUAUUUGUCACCCUACAGAAUUUGAUUUUUACCUCAACAGCCAUGCAGGAAUUCAGGUUAAAAAAAAAAAUUAAGUUUGCUAUUUCAAUCCAGGUUAAAAAAAUAAAACAAUGUCCCCCCCCCCCCCCCCUCUUGAAUUUUUAAAUGUGUUGGACUGAUUAAGGUGUUUAUUCCAGGGAACCAGUCGCCCAACUCACUACCAUGUAUUGUAUGAUGAGAACCAUUUUACUGCAGAUGACUUGCAAUUGUUAACAAAUAACUUGUGUUACACGUAAUAUGUUUACCUUCUCUAUAAUGGGAUUUAAUAUUGCAUUGUUGAAGAAUUUAUCUUUCGAGUGGUUAUUUUGUAAGUUUUUGACUCGUGGCCCAUUUUCAGGUAUGCAAGGUGUACUCGAUCAGUUUCAAUAGGUCUGACCCUUGUACUUCUAUUGUUUUACUAAAAAUAUUGCUAGCAUUGAUUGAUUUUUUUUUUCUUUUUAUUUUUUGUAUUGGCUGUUUUCAUAUGGCAGUGCCUCCUGCAUACUAUGCACAUUUAGCAGCUUUUCGGGCUCGUUUUUAUAUCGAGGAUGAAACAUCUGCGGGUGGAUCCACAGGAGGGACUAGGAGCACGGCGGAGGGGAGUUUGGCUAUCCGGCCUCUUCCCGUCAUCAAGGAUAAUGUGAAAGAUGUAAUGUUUUACUGCUGAAAGUAGUCUCCAGCAUCAAUCCUCUUUGUCAUGGUUUUCAUCAAGGCUUGACGUGUUUUGGUAUAUGGAGUACAGCGUGGUGCCGUUUUUGGACAGUACUGUUAUUUUGGGAGUAGUUUCAAAUUGGACAUCAAGGGUAGAAACUGAUUCUCCUUAUGUUAAAAAUGUUAGCUGCAUAUUGUCCUGGUUAAUGCUGGUUAAUGCCUUGUAAAUUUAAAUGCCAAAAAACUUCAUUUCUUGGUGGGGUUAUUUGAUCUCACUGCACGCUUUUUUAAAUUAACAUUUUUGGACAGUGCUGAUUAUCUCACUGCACUCUUUUUUCAAUUAACAUUUUUAUUCUGAAAACAUAAUUGGAUCAAUUAUAUAUUUGAUCUUAUUUUCUCUCUCGAUCUCUUUCCCUUAACCAAAAUUUAUUGUAAUAUGUGAAGUAAGUAUUGAAUUUUCUAAUUAUUCAAAAAGUAAUAAAUUCAGCUCAAUGGUAAUUAGAAACAAGAUGAAAGAGACAAUGUUAAUCAUUUAGAAAUAAAAAAUAAGAGUUUUUAGACUGUUCUAAAUUUGUUAGAAUUUUGAGAAAGAUGAAGUUGAUUUUGGAGAGAAUAAAAUUGAAAAGUAGUUUAAGCUUUGAUCAUUUCUACAGUAGACAGAAAAAUUAGAGCCAAUUUGGGAUUGCGAAGGCAUAUGAAAUAAGCAGCUUAUGUGUUGUGCAGGUGAAAUAAGUUGUUGAUAAAAAAAGUAGUUUAGUGUUUGGAAAACUGUAUUGUUGUGGUUGCUAAGAAUUUGAAUAGUACAGUACAUGUGUUUGGUAAAUUAUAUUACGAAAGUAUUGUUUUAUUAUAUAAUGAGCAAAAUAGAUACAAGUUUUAAUUACUUUUUAUUUUUAAAGUAUGUUUAAUAGAUUAUUUAUACAUAUCUUUUUUCUUAUUGUUUUAUAUAUAAUGACUAAGAUAGACAUAAAUUUUAAUUACUUUUUAUUUUUAAAGUAUAUUUAAUAAAUUAUUGAGACAUAUCUUUUUUUCUUAAAUGCAUAAAAUUACAUUAAAAAACUCAAUUAAAAAAAUCUAUAGAACUUCAUAAUUUAUUACAAAAAAAAUAUGAUAAAAAUAAAGUUAUGAUUCAUAUAUUAGGGUUUAUAGAUAAAUAAAAUAUAAUUGUCUUUUUAUUAAAUUCUAGGGUUAUAAUAGGAAAUUUAAAAAGGUAUGGUAACUUAUUAAAUAAGCUGUUUAUAAAAAGUAAUUUGUUACCUGCUUUUAAAAGUUGCUGACAAAAUGGAAAAAAUUAUGAAAUAAGUUGAUUUUAUAAAAUUUUACAAACAUUAUUUUUAUUAAAAAUUAUGAAAUAAGCAGUUUAUUAAAUUUCAACUACAAUUCUAAACUGACCCUUGGUUAAUCAAAUAUUUUUUGUGACUUUUGAGAAUUAGUGAAUUAAAAUAAUAAAUUAUCAUAAAAAAAUGAUUUUUAGAAGGAAAAUCAACGUUUGCCUCAAUUGUUUGAUGAGGCGAAUGAUGCAUGUAUACGGUUGGGUACAUGCAGUUGUUUUUAACUAAGAUGUAUAAAUAGAUGAACAAAUACUGCAAAAGCGAAAGUAUUUAAUUAAAAAAUGUCAUAAAAAUUUCUUCAAAGCCGGUGAUCGUACUACAAGUACAUUUAAGCAGUCAGCAAGAGUAUUGAACUGUGUAUGCUUCCUUUUUUCAUUUCAAUUACCCGUUAUUCUUCUUGUACGGUGGCUUCUGAAUUACUUUCUUUACUUUUUGAGAGCUCAAGCAAUUCCGUUGCUUCUUCCACUUUUGCAGCCAAUGACUCAAAGUGAAUCCAACAGCACGAUCAUCUCGGAGAGAUCCAUUUCCAAAAUCAUCUCAGUAAUCUUUGGUGAAAGAUCACACUGUCCAAAAGUUACUUACAUGUAAAUAUCAUUAAACCAAAGCUUAAAGCAGGUGAAAAUUGUGAGUACAUUCGCAGAAGGUUAAAACUUCAAUUUACUCCCUUAUUUUAAAAGACAACCUACUACUUACCUCAAAAAUAUAAAAACAUCAAUUGAUGUCUUUUAUUAUUAAAAAGACAAAAAAAAAUAUUAUCAACACACUUUUCGUUUGUCCUAAUCUUUUGAACGAAAAUGAAAAUAAACUGAAGAUUAUCAUUUUACCCGAAGAUGAAUCAAAAUUGACCCUUCACAAAAAAAUAUGAGCAAUCACCUUGAGUUUCUUCACCAGCGGGUAGAGUCUUCGGCCAAGAAUAUCUUUCCUUUCAUUAGGGGAAGCAGCAGCAAGCAUGCUGCUCAAAUUUUCAUUGUAAGCAGCAGCUCUUUAAUUCCCAUUUGUCAGCUCUUUGAUUCCCAUUGGAAAAUUUAGCAUUGCCCAUUCAUCCUUCCUCCUCUAUAUUGCCUUACAGAAUUAGGAGCCUGUAAUACAAAAUUUUUAAUCCCAAAGUUAAGCAGAAGCGCAACAAUUCCAAAUACAUCCUAAACUUGAUUUUACGUUACCAUUAGAAACAAAGGAGAAGGAGGAGGAGGAGAAAAUCCAUUAGGAAUCAUGCCACCAUGCCUGAACCCUGGUGCUUGGUACACUUGUAAUGCACGUUGAUAAAGGGUCGGAUGCAUAGGAAAAAUGGUGCUACCAAGUCCUGGCCCUUGCUUUGCAUACAUCAUUCGUAGGUACGAAGUUCUUUCUCGCUUUGUUUGAGCAAUGGCCACAUACAAUGGCUUUUGAUGAAACAAGAUGCCAUUCAGAGUAUUUAUGGCUCGAUUGGCUUCAUCAGGAUUAGAGAAACACACAAAUCCGAACCCUUUGCUAAUACCUCGAUUAGUUCUCAUGAUCUUAACAGAGCUGAUAAUGCCACACUGGCUAAAAUAUUGUUUCAAUUCAAUUUCGUCAACGUCAUCAUUUAUGUUCUUCACAUACAAAUUUUUAUCCUACAAUUGACAAACAUCUUGAUUUUAGCAGGAUUUAACAAACGAAAAUAACGAUAUUAAUUAAGAGAGCAAAUAACCAAAAAAAAAAAAAACACCUUGUAUAAUUCAGCACGCUCUUUGCGCAUUCUCUCAAAUUAAGCGCGUAAAAUCGCCUUUCGUUCAGCUUUCUUCUGUGCAUUGUGUCUUUGGCUCUUUUAACAUCAUCUGGAUUUUCAAAAUUCACAAAACCAAAACCCUUUGAUGUCCCGUUAGCAUCUUUUGAGAUAACCAAACUUAUUAAUAUUUUUCCAAACUCGAAGAAUUUCUCUACCAAAAUCUCCUCAGUCACAUCAUCAUCUAAAUUCUUGACGUACAGGUUGUUAAAAAAAGCACUUUCUUGAAUCCCCCCAGCCCUUCUGAUGAAUGGACCAACAUAGCUGCCAAUUAAUGCCAGUGAACAUUAUUAAUGCGACAAAUAGUAGAUAAAUUAGCAUAUAUACAAAGAUGACACAUACAACUGUGGCUGGAUCCAAUAACUAAUUGCACCAUUGUUUUGCCCCUUUUAUAGAAUGUAAAAUUAAAAUUUACUAUUAAAAUUGUCAAAAACCACCAACAAAGUGUUGGCUCCACUGGCAAUGGAGUCCCCUUAAGUGACUUGACUGGGUUUGCUCCCUAGUUCGAGUCGCAGGGAAGUCGCCUUUGUUGGGAGAACCUGUGCCUCCCGGUUCGAGCGGGGACUUCUAGUCUGGGUUGUGGUACGGGCUUAAAGGUGCCUCCCACAGUUGGGGCCCUCCCCAGGAUACCUCGUGAUUAAUAUCAAAAAAAUUGUCAAAAACCAUUACGUGUGGCAAUAUUCAAAUCCGAAUUUAAAUCUGCAUUGAAAUUUUGAGAUAUGGAUCCACAUUUUUUUUUUAUUGGAUCUGAUUAAAGGAAAUAUUCGUAAAGAUUGCAGGCAUAUAUUUUGCAUAUCUAGAUUCGCAUGAUUCAAAAUUCAUAUAUAAUUUAAAAUUUAACAAAUUUGCCUAAUAAAAUCCAAUUAUAAUUGAACGAUCAACAAUUCAACACCUAGAAUAACAUUCAACAAUAUUAAAUUCAUAAAUAAAAAUACCAUAAAAUAAAUCAAACAUCAAAAAUAACAUAAAUUUAAGUCUAACACCACUACAAAUCCAUAAAUACGAACACCACAAGUCCACUUAGAUUCAAUUUAAAACCAUCACAAAUAAAAACACCACAACAAAUCUACACAAGUUUGAUUUUUUUAAAUUUAACAUAUAUUUUUUAUUCAAUUUUAAUGUAAUAAAUAAUUUAAUUAAAAAAUAAUGUGGAUCCAAAUAUUCAAUUUUCUGGAUGCAUUUGCAUCCGAAUCCGUACAUAUUUAUUUUUUGGCAUCCUAAUCUAUACUUUUCAAUAUGUGGAUCCAAAUCUUUACAAAUCUGGGUCGGAUCUAGAUUUUUUUACGAUCCCUACAAACAAUUACCAUGUUUGAUAGGUUAAAAAAAUAUAGGCACACGUUAGACAAUAGUAUAAAGUUAAGAGUAUUGGACUAUUCUUUUUAAAAUUAAAUCAGUCUUUUGUUUGGUGCUGCAAAGAUAAGUGAGGAUUAUGUACCUUAAGACCACACCAUUUAAUCUUGGACACAUACUUUUAUAAAGUAGAAUGAAAAAUUUUCCCAUAGGGACCCUAGGGAUAAUGUGGGAUAAUUUUUUUCAUGCCUAAAAAUAAUUGUAGAAUAACUACACAAUGAAAUAUCUAUAUCUAUUAUUACAUUAUAUUACAUUGAUUAAAUAUGUAUUUACUUCAAUAUUCAUUUUACUUAAAUAAUAAUAAAAAUGUUAGAAUUUAUAUUUUGUGUGUUUGUGUGUGUGUUUGUAUGUAUAUACAUACAUAUACACACAUAAAUGAUCAAUUACACACAUUAUUGUACGCGACGAGCCAUGUGUCAUUUAAUGAUUAGUUGUGUCGCACAUCUAAUUAUGUGUGUGCAUUAUAAUAUUAAUAAUAAUAAAAUAAAAACAACUUAAAUUAAUAUUCAGGUUUUUAAUUUAAUAUUUCGAAUAUUCGUAUUAUUAAAUUUAUAUUUAUAAAUUUACUCUUAUAAAUAAAAUACUUUUAAAUAUUUAAUAAUUAAUAAAUCAAUAGUAAUAUACUUUAUUUUCUUAUAAACUGUUUUAGUAAAAUCCUACAUAGUAUACCAAACAUGAGAUAAUAUUAAAUAUAAAUCCAGCCCAAUCUUAUUUUAUCCUACUAAACCCAAUAUAUUAUUACCCAUAAUCCAUCUUAUAAAAAAAAAAGUAAUUUAAGUUCUCGUGCUGACCGGAGGGAAACCUGAAAGGCGGAAAGCCUAGCUAUAGGGGUGUUCAGAAUCUAUUCCAAUCCGCUCAACCCGUCUGAUCCGUAAAAAUUUGAUCCGUGGAUUGGUGAAUUGGAUUGGAUUGAAAAUUUGAUAAUCUGCAAUCGGUGGAUUGGAUAUGAAUCUACUUCUAUAAAUCCGCAAAAAUCCGCGAAUCCGUAAAAAAAUAAAGAGUAUUUAUUUAAUUAAAAAAACUUGUAAAUAUGACAUUAUUACUUACUAGUAAAUAAAUAAGUUAAAAUAUAGUUAUAUUAACACUAUAUUAUAUCUUAUCCGAUGAUAAUAAAAAAUAAAAAAUAAACAAAUAAAUAAAUAAAUAAAGCUUCUUAAAUAGUUAAUUUCCAUGUGCUGAUAUAAACUAAUGAGAUUUUUUUCGUUUUGGUGUGUUAUAUUUUGAAACUUUAAAUGUAUUUUCUACCUUUAUUUAAACAGUUAAUUUAUGUAAAUCUUAUUUGAUUUUAAAUUUCAUCUGUAGUAAAAUUAUUUUUAUAUUAAUUUUUUUUAUUUAGUUAGUUUGUGGAUUUGACAAAAUUUAAAAUUUUUAGUCCGCAAAAUAAUAGAUUAGAUAUGGAUUAGGUCAAAUCCGCAUCCGAUCCACAGAUAUAUGGAUUGGAUUUGAAUUAAAUUUCACCAAUCCGUGGAUUGAAUUAGAUUAAAAAUUUAUAAUCUACAAAAUCAUGAAUCGGAUAUAAAUUAAUGGCCAAUCCAUAAAAUUCGAUUUGCGAACACUCCUACCUAGCUGAAGCUCUUACCUCAAUUUCCAGUUGAAAAUUAAUAAUUAAUAAUCACUAAUAAAAAAUUAAAGAUGAACGCUCACUAAUUAAUAAGUAAUUUAAGUUCCUUUUUAUUAUUUAUAGGGAAAUUUACACUAGUCUACCUGUUUGUUUUGCCUUUUUUAAAAAUACACAAAUAUUUUUUUUUUCAGUGCGCCACCUGAAGUUUGCUUUUUGUUGCAUUUUUCCACUUCCGUCUAAUUUCCGUUAGUGGAUUUAACGGAAUGUUAACGAAAUGACCUUUUUACCCCUCAAAAUUACAAUUUAACCUAAAAUAAAUGGAAAUUUGAGAUAAAUUGGAUGUAUUUAAAUUUUUUCAAAGGUGGAUGCUAGAAAUUGGAGGAAAAUAGUGUUUGUUGCUUGCUAAAUUUAGAAAAUUUGUAUUUAUUUUCUAAAUUUAGCAAGCAACAAACAUUAUUUUCCUCCAAUUUCUAACAUCCACCUUUGAAAAAAUUUAAAUCCAUCCAAUUUAUCUCCAAUUUUUAUUUAUUUUGGGUUAAAUUAUAAUUUUGAAGGGUAAAAAGGUCAUUUUGUUAAAUUUACUAACGAAAAUUAGACGAAAGUGGAAGAAUGUAACAAAGAGUGAAUUUGAGGUGGCGCGCUGAAAAAAAAAAAAAAGUAUUUGUGUAUUUAAAAAAAAGAUAAAAUAAACAUGUGGACGGUUGUAAAUUUUCUUUAUUUAUAUACACUUCCCAUCUUCCUCUCUCCUUCUCUCUGUUUCUUCUUAAGUCGUCGCUCUCUCGCUUUAUUUGUGUGACCAUCACUUCAAUUCGGUUCCUCAAAAUUUCCUUUCAUUUUACCUUUCUGCUUUCGACAAUGUCUCGACGUGGUGGCGGUGGUCGUAGGCCGGAUUCUCGCCGUGACCAGCCGACUCAGGCACGGGCGCCGUCAUUCCAGCGGGGUGGCGGCGGAGCCGCUGGACCACGCGGCCGAGGUCGUCAAGGUCAACGAGGGGGUGCUGGUCGUGGAUCGCAUUCCGGCUCCGGUGCAGCCCCGUCCUCACCGCACACCGCUUCGACUUCGACGGAGCCGGCUCCUUCGUCUCCGUCUGUUUCUGCUUCUGCUCCUUCUUCGUCUUCAGUCUCUACUCUUGUCGAAGAAACGGAGCAGAAACUGACAUUGGCGGCACCAGCGGCGGCUACACUUCCGCCUUCGUCGUCGCGGGCGGUGAGACUUCCAGUGAGGCCGGGAUUCGGAACCCGUGGCAGAAAAUGUGUUGUCCGAGCAAAUCACUUUAUGGUGCAACUUGCCAAGAGAGACAUUCAUCACUAUGAUGUAAGUCUACUUUUAAUUUUAACUUCGUUAUUUUUGAAAACGUUUUGACUCUUUUUAUUUUUUAUUUUCCAUUUUUCUCGUCAAUUAAGGUUUCAAUUGACCCAGAGGUGACGUCACAAAAGAUCAACAGACAAAUUAUUUCUCAGCUGAUUAAUUUAUAUCGGCUGACUAACUUGGGUGAACGAAUACCUGCCUAUGAUGGUAUGAAGAGCAUUUACACUGCAGGGCCGCUGCCUUUUGAAUCGAAGGAAUUCAUUAUCACGUUACCUGAUAGUGAUCCUCGUCCCAGCUCAUCUGCCAGCCCGGGGUAUCUCAUGCUUUUAACACGUGUGUUUCUUGAAUAUUGUUGAUUGUGAGUUUUCUUGAUUUAAUGUGUCGAGUGAUUUCUUAUGCAGAACGGAGCGUCAGUUUAGGGUGGUUAUCAGAUUGGCGUCGCAGCCUUAUGUUUACACUCUACAGAAGUUCAUACAAGUGCUUGAUGUUGUUCUCAGAGCAGCUCCAUCAGAGAAGUAUUUAACCUUAACUGUGUUAAUAAAAGUUUCACUUUUUGGUAUGUAUGAUAUAGGAUGUUCCGUGCCCAUGCCAGCAUUUGCUUGUUCAUGCAACUGAUUGAGCAUUUGAUUUCUGAGGAACAAUUUUAUUAUUGUCUAUUUUGUGCCUUGAACAAUUUAGGUUUUAGAAUGGUUAAUUAAUGAAAUGAUGAACUUCUGCAUCAGGCAUACAGUUGUGGGAAGGUCAUUUUUCUCAACUGAUCUUGGACCAAUGGGUCAGCUUGGUGAUGGCAUUGAAUAUUGGCGUGGAUAUUUUCAGAGUCUUCGCCCAACCCAAUUUGGGCUAUCUCUUAAUAUUGGUUUUUCUCAUUAUAUUUUAUAUAAUUUGAUGCUGCUUAUCUUUAUAUUAUCCAAGCUUGAUUUUUUCUUUUUUAGGUGCAGCACUGCUACAUAAAUAUUUGCUUUUGCUGUUGCAGAUGUUUCAGCCAGCUCCUUUUAUAAGCCAAUUCUAGUUACUGAGUUUGUUCAGUAUUAUUGCAGCGACUUAUCACGUCCUCUUUCUGAUCAAGUGCGUCUCAAGGUAUUGUCUAGUCUUCUUUCGUGAUGUCAUGGUUAUAAUUAAUUUAGUAUCAAUUUAAUGAGCUAUCUAUUGGGCGGUUAAAAGUUUUAAUUGAGGGCUGCAGCACUGUAAUAUAUUUGUGAUAAGAGCCUUUUCAAAGAAUGAUCACAGAUUUGUUAGGCAAACCGUUCAGUAAUGUUUUAGAUGCUGUGUAUAAUUUAUUGCAAGUAAUUAGUAGUUUAAAAUUUCAAAUUUCUUGCAAAUUUUGGAUAGGGUAAUUUCUUAAUUUGUGGCUGAACUGGUGGGUAGUGAGUAGUGUCUGUUGUUCUUGGCCAUUGAAAUCUAAAUAGAAUGAGCUCCCAAGUCUGAGGGGAAUAGAAUGUUGAUGACAGGGUUUGAUGAUCAAUGUAGGAAGUUGGUGUAUAAUUUGGCCUACAAUUCUGAUGAUAAAGAAAUGAGAUCUUGAAAUGGCGGUUUUAAAAAUCUUCCACGCAUUCAUUUGCAAUUGUACAGUUAUCUUGAUCAACUUAUUAUCAUUCCGUUACGUAUAUUAGCAAUCUUUUGAACUAUCUGUAAAAUUUUUACUUUCGAUCUAUUUUGGCCGCUAUUUGACAACCGCCCUUUAAUUAUUUUCAAAAUUAUUGCUGGGAAUGGGAUAGAGACAUGUGCUCAAUGAUAUUAAUAUAAUUGUUUAAUUCUUGACUUCUAGGUGAAAAAGGCAUUGAAGGGAAUAAAGGUAGUGCUCAGGCAUAUGGGGUACAACUUAAGUUGCAAGAUCACUGGAAUAACCAGUCAACCGAUGAGCCAAGUAAUGUAUGUGUGUGUGUAAUUAACUGAUAUACAAGUGUAAGAACACUGUCCAACUUGUGGUGAUAGAGUGUGAUAACAUAACUUGGUGGUUUGGUUGUGUUUAUGUUGGUAGAUUUGUUUAUGUUAGCUGAUUCUUGAGUCCCCCACGCCAUUUGAGAAGCAUACUUUAUGUUACCUGCUUUUGUCGUCAUCUGAAAUCCACAUAUGGUUAAAUUUGUCUUUUGUGUUGUAUUUUAUGUAUGAUUGAACUACUUGGUGGUAAAAAGUUUGGCGGAUGUGUCUCAAAUCAAUUUCUCAAAUCUGAUAUGUGAUAGUAGUUGGCUACUAUGUAGUGCGAUGGUCACUUGAUAUUGCCUGUAACAGUGAUGUAUCCCUCCUUCCAUGUUAUAGUAGGCAUUCACAUUAUAUCUUCCCUUUGAUUGUAUUUGCUAGGUUUACUUGUGACAAUGAGACAAGGUCGGUGGUUCAAUAUUUUCUUGAAAAACAUAAAAUUGCGCUUCAAUUCACGUCAUUGCCUGCCCUUGAAGCUGGAACUGAAGAGAGGCGCAUUUAUUUGCCAAUGGAGGUUCUAUGAUCAAAAGACUACUUUCGUUCUUUGUGUCUGGAAAAUAAUUUAUUUAAGACUUAUUUAUAGAAUAUUUUUGUUUACAGCUUUCUAGGAUACUCGAGGGACAGAGAUAUACUAAAAGAUUAAAUGAAAGACAAGUAACUGCUCUUUUAAGAGCAACCUGUCAGCGUCCUCAGGAUCGUGAAGCAAAUAUACACAUGGUAGAGCAUUGUUGUAAUUUCUUACAUCUGUGGUGGAUCUUUUUUGGAUGAUUAAUCUGGGAGCUAUCUUCUUGUGAACAAAGAGAGUUUCUGAUUCUUGCUUCUGGGUUUGACAUUCUUCUGCAGAUGGCUAGGGAAAAUGCUUACAAUGAAGAUACUCUUGUGAACAGAGAGUUUGGAAUUCAAGUGGUUGAUGGUCUUACAUCGGUUAAUGCUCGAAUCCUACCUGCUCCAAUGGUAAUUAUGUGUCAUUUUGUUUUAUUUGUAACAGGAUUAUGGUACUUCCAAUCUCCUUAUGCUUAACUUUACCUCCUGUAAUGCUGCAGCUUAAAUAUCAUGAAACUGGCCCAGAAGCAAGCGUGAAUCCUGAUUUUGGGCAAUGGAACAUGAUUAACAAGGUGAAUUACUGAUUAUUAUUUUAUUCUGUAGCUGUUGAUUUGUGCUUAGAAAGAGCAUAGGGAAGCAGUUUCCACUUGUUUAAAUUGGUUGAGGGAUGUUUAUUGACUGAUGGGUAGGAUGGGUUGGAAGUUGAUUUGCUACAUUUGAUGCAAUGUGGAUGUGCUGCAUUUCCUUUGCAACCAUUAUUUUUUUAUUUUUUUUUUCAUUUUAGCAUGCUGUAAUUUCUAUUUAGUUAUAUACUUUUUCAUCUUUGACAAGCAUUGUAUCUGAUAUUCACUUAGGUAUUUGGAUUGUAUGUGCUUGGUGUUCAGCUCAAUCCACUUUGCCUUCUGAAGGAGAAGCUUUUAUUUGUUUACACUGAAUUAUUUUGUGUAAUUUUGGUUGUACAGAAAAUGUUCAAUGGUGGGACAGUGCAAGUUUGGACUUGUAUGAACUUCUCAACGUGUUUGAACCAGGAUGUGAUCGGGUUCUGUCAACGGUUGGUAGAUAUGUGCAAUAGAAAGGGAAUGGUAUGGUAAUGUUAAUGGUAUGGUAAUGUUAUUUGUUUUGCAAUUCAUGUUAGCAAUUUAGGUUAAUGGUCUCUCUGAACCGACUUUUUUCUUUUGGGGGGUCUGUGUUUAUCAUGCCAGGUAUUUAACCGGCGGCCUGUCAUUCCCAUAAGUUCAUACAACCCAUAUCAAAUUGAGAAGGCACUUGUAGACGUUCACAAUAAGACUACACAGCCAGGGAAACAGCUUGAGCUGUUGAUAAUUAUUUUACCAGAUGUUCGCGGAUCAUAUGGUGAGUGAUAAAUUUAAUCAAGGAUUAAACUUUAAUGUCAGCUUUGGUUUUGUUCAACAUUAUCGGCUUUCUGCUCGCAGGAAGAAUUAAGCGAGUUUGUGAAACGGAACUUGGGAUUGUUUCACAAUGCUGUCAGCCUAAGCACGCAUCCAGUCGCAACAUGCAGUAUUUUGAAAAUGUGGCUCUUAAAAUCAAUGUGAAGGUUUGCUUUGCCCCCAUUUUUUUGCGUGUUCAUUAUCAUGGUUAAUAUUUGAGAACCAAUACAAGGGUUGGCAGGAAAACAUGUAGGAGACGAAUUUUUUUUUUUUUUUUGGCAAUUUAAUUUCAGUCUUGAUUUGCUGUAAUUAUUGUAAUUUUUUUUUUCAAAUAAUCAAAUUCUGAUGUUCAAGAUAUUUUUAUAAGUGUUUGGGAGUGCCAAAAUUUCUUGUUAAAAUUGAUAGGUUUGCUUAUUGGUACUGGAGAUUCAGUUUGCUAUUUGUAAUUUUAUCAGGUUGGAGGACGAAACACUGUGCUCGAUGAUGCUGUUCAGAAAAGAAUUCCUCUUGUGACUGAUAGACCUACAAUUAUAUUUGGUGCAGAUGUCACCCAUCCACAACCAGGAGAAGACUCUAGCCCUUCAAUAGUGGCCGUAUGUGCACUCAUUUUCUGUUUCUGCUUUCUAGUAAUUCACUCUGUUGAAAGAUUGAAUUGACUGAGACAGGUGGUGGCCUCAAUGGAUUGGCCAGAAGUAACCAAGUACAGAGGACUUGUCUCUGCUCAGGCACAUAAUGAGGAAAUUAU